rnacentral:rRNA from 1 species
CACUCCUACGGGAGGCAGCAGUGGGGAAUUUUGGACAAUGGGCGAAAGCCUGAUCCAGCAAUGCCGCGUGAGUGAAGAAGGCCUUCGGGUUGUAAAGCUCUUUUGUCAGGGAAGAAACGGUGAAAGCUAAUAUCUUUUGCUAAUGACGGUACCUGAAGAAUAAGCACCGGCUAACUACGUGCCAGCAGCCGCGGUAAUACGUAGGGUGCAAGCGUUAAUCGGAAUUACUGGGCGUAAAGCGUGCGCAGGCGGUUUUGUAAGUCUGAUGUGAAAUCCCCGGGCUCAACCUGGGAAUUGCAUUGGAGACUGCAAGGCUAGAAUCUGGCAGAGGGGGGUAGAAUUCCACGUGUAGCAGUGAAAUGCGUAGAUAUGUGGAGGAACACCGAUGGCGAAGGCAGCCCCCUGGGUCAAGAUUGACGCUCAUGCACGAAAGCGUGGGGAGCAAACAGGAUUAGAUACCCGGGUAGUCCCA